rnacentral:misc_RNA from 1 species
CAGUAAUUACUUAUUAAAAGGUAUCCGUCCAACUAACUUUUCUAAUAUCCUCCUUAUAAGCCAGCAAAAGACCUAAGUUUCUCAACUAUGGAGUCUAUGGCAGAAUGAGAGUUCUUGGUGCCUGUUAAUGGCAGAUGUUUUGGUGCUUCAGCUCUGUCAAAAUAAAAUGCUCCAGGAAUCAACUUCUCUUUUGGUUGUAAUGCCAACCAGAUAACUGUAUCUGCACCUUCCUCACUACUUCUAAGUUUUCCUUCAAACGAUUUAGAAAAAUCUGGCAAACUCUUGGCUACCCCAGGCGUCUCGGCCCACCCUGGAUGCAUGGAGUAGAAAUUAACACCUUUAUCCUUGUACUUUUCAGCCCAUUUUUCUGUCAGUGCAAUCUGAAUUCUCUUGUUCCGAGCAUACUGUACCACCCCAUCAAACGUGUCACCACUAAACUGUAAAUCAGUAGUCAAUGGAGAUGUGUACAUUCCACCCGAGGAAACUGUGAUAACACGAGCAUCAGGUGCGGCCUUCUCGAGGAGUGGCAACAUCAACUCAGUCAAGGUGUAAGUUCCAAGAACAUUUGUAGCAAAACUCAGCUCAUAUCCUUCUGGUGUGAUGACACGAUUAGCUUCAAGCAGGCCAGCAUUAUUAACCAGGACAUGUACAGGCACAUCUUUAGAACAAAACCUGGAAGUGAAGGAUUUGACAUCAUUGACUGAUGAGAUAUCACAGACCUCCAAGUAGACAUUUUUAUUUCCCGUGUUUGAGUGAAUUUUGGUAAGAGCAGCCUCUCCCCUCUCUUUAUUACGGCAUACCAUGUAGACAGUUGCCCCACUUGAAACAUUCAAAAGACAUAGCUGUUAGUGAUACCGUGAAGCGAGACCCU